rnacentral:rRNA from 1 species
AGGACGAACGCUGGCGGCGUGCUUAACACAUGCAAGUCGAGCGAGGCCCUUCCUUCGGGAAGGUGUCCUAGCGGCGAACGGGUGAGUAACACGUGGGCAACCUGCCCCUAGCACUGGGAUAACCCCGGGAAACCGGGGCUAAUACCGGAUACGACUCCGGAGGGCAUCCUCUGGAGUGGAAAAGGUUACUGGCUAGGGAUGGGCCCGCGGCCUAUCAGCUUGUUGGUGGGGUAAUGGCCUACCAAGGCGACGACGGGUAGCCGGCCUGAGAGGGCGACCGGCCACACUGGGACUGAGACACGGCCCAGACUCCUACGGGAGGCAGCAGUGGGGAAUAUUGCACAAUGGGCGAAAGCCUGAUGCAGCGACGCCGCGUGAGGGAUGACGGCCUUCGGGUUGUAAACCUCUUUCAGCUCCGACGAAGCGAAGUGACGGUAGGAGCAGAGAAGCACCGGCAACUACGUGCCAGCACCGC